UACGUAGGGUGCAAGCAUUAAUCGGAUUUACUGGGCGUAAAGGGCGCGUAGGCGGGUUUAAAAGUCAAAUGUGAAAUUCCGGAGCUCAACUUCGGAGCGGCAUUUGAAACUAUAAGUCUAUAGAGGGGUGGCGGAGGAAACGGAAUUCCACAUGUAGCGGUGAAAUGCGUAGAUAUGUGGAAGAACACCAGUGGCGAAAGCGGUUUUCUAGCUAUUUCCUGACGCUGAGGCGCGAGAGCAUGGGGAGCAAACAGG
rnacentral:rRNA from 1 species